UACGUAGGGGGCAAGCGUUGUCCGGAUUUACUGGGCGUAAAGAGCGCGCAGGCGGUCGCUCAAGUCGCGUGUGAAAGCCCCCGGCUCAACUGGGGAGGGUCAUUCGAUACUGUUCGACUCGAAGGCAGGAGAGGGAAGUGGAAUUCCUGGUGUAGCGGUGAAAUGCGCAGAUAUCAGGAAGAACACCAAUGGCGAAAGCAGCUCUCUGGGACGGUACUGACGCUGAGACGCGAAAGCGUGGGGAGCGAACAGG
rnacentral:rRNA from 1 species